rnacentral:lncRNA from 1 species
UGUUAGGAUUCAUUUUAAUCUGCCAUUGCAUUCAUUUUGAACUCUAAAUUGUUUGCUGCAUCACUGGUGUCAUAACUGUCUUGCAUGUGAUUAUUGAUUUCAUGGUCUGAUUGAGUUGUGAUCCUCUUUCUAAUUGCAUUGAGAAAAUAGUUUUCCAACUUUGUUCAGACUUAUUGUUGCAUACUGUUGCAUGAUACCUAGUUUACUUGUGGUAUAACUGUGCAUGAAUUCAUCUGUUUUAGGAAACUAAUCUUGUACAUUCACUUAUUUGACUGCAACUAAUGUGGUGGUAAAAGGUAUUGAGA